UACGUAGGGAGCAAGCGUUGUCCGGAAUCAUUGGGCGUAAAGCGCGCGUAGGCGGCCCUGUAAGUCCGUUGUGAAAGUCAAAGGCUCAACCUUUGAAAGCCGAUGGAUACUGCAGGGCUAGAGUACGUUCGGGGCAGAGGGAAUUCCUGGUGUAGCGGUGAAAUGCGUAGAGAUCAGGAAGAACACCGGUGGCGAAGGCGCUCUGCUAGGCCGUAACUGACACUGAGGGACGAAAGCUAGGGGAGCGAACGGG
rnacentral:rRNA from 1 species